AGAAUAACCUUGAAGUUCAGGUUACAACCUACCCCAUGCACGUGAUAACCGCAGCUGCUUCCACCGUCCGACAAGAACGAGCCCUGCGUCAGCCCCAUGGCCUUCAAACGCUGACGGGUUAACGCAUGACACCGAGGUCAUAGUUUCUGCAGAAGGGCAGAAAUUUGUCCCUGAGUUGUGGGUGGAACUACUGACACAGGUAAGCCUGAUCCUGCUUUUCUACACCUUUCUGUGCACAUGCUCUCCUGCUAGCUUACAGUCCCUCACAUUACAAUGGCGAGCAAUACUGGAGCUAUACAGCUGUACAGUAAGAGUCAGAUGUCAGAUCAGACAAGAAAAAAACAAACAAACAAACAUGGAUCUAGUCGUCUGCAAGUGGAUGCAUCAGAAUGGAGCAGAGCUUAGAGUUUGUGACCCGCCCAUUGUAUACUACUUCACAAAAAAGCUAUUUUUCAAUCAUAAUGAUUUAAAUAAAAACACUCAGAAACACGGUUUUAAUCUAAAUUUUCUUUAUAAACUCCCCAGUUCAAAAAUCUCUGCACAUAGAGUUGAUUUUAAGUUAUUUUAUCCCUCAGAAAGUCAAAUAAUUCACCCAAGUUAUCAAGUGAUGGAUUUCCAUUAACUGUUAGAGAUGCAAAUUGACUUUUUCCAAGAUUCCAAGAUCUAGGUCUAAAGUUGAUAAUCAAAUUAGUUGUUUUUGUUAUUUUCUUAUUUUAUGAAAAUGUAAAAAAAUAAAAAUACAGGUCAUUAAUGACCAAUAAACAGCUUCUGAAUUAACCAACCCCUCAUUCUAAUUGCUCUUUUUAAUCCGGCUAAUUCAUGUGACAACUGAGAUGUGGAGAUGGCUGACCUCUCUAACCCAGACCAGAUGCUCCCUCAUGGCUUCACCUGUUACAUCACAGACGGAGGAUUAACGGAGUCUAAGGACAGCCAUGCAUGACGGGUGACCUCAGAGGUUGACUGAGCUAAAGCCCGGAGAGUCCGCCGUGUGGUCAUUUACGGAUCAGCCGGCUGGCGUGUGCAGCCAAGUGUGAAAAACCCGCUAUGUUCAGCUGAGUCAUCGUUUUUCUGCAGAAUCUAGAUAACAGCAAUCCAAGAAGGCUGUUUCAGCAUGGAUUCCUGGAUUUUUUGUGAACAUUUCCAGAUUUUGGAAUCUUUAAAACAUUCCGAGAUGUCAAAAUUCAAAUAAUCUAAGAUGCUUCUGUUUAUCUUAUGCCGUUUUAAAAAAAAAAAAUCAUCGCUCUCCUGUACUUUUCCAGUGUCUGAGGUGCUUUCUCUCUAAUUGCAUGCUGUGCUGUGUGUACGGCCCCAGUUAAAGGCUUGAGGGGGUUGGAUAACAAAGCGGUUAAAGUCUUGAUCUUCUGACCUCCUAAGCUGUUGCUGAGAUGAUGGAAAAUUCCGAGAAAUGUUUUUAAGCUAGAGAUCACAGGCAGUGGACCUCCACCACACUUAAAAGGCUUGAGUGGCACAGAAGCAGAUCUUCACUCAUGCUGUCGGGAUCAAAGGAAUCCAGGAGAUUUGUUUAAUGCCGGCCAGAAAACUGUCCUUAACAAGAACCAAACUUUCUCUGUUGUGGCCAAACACCAGCGAGACAGUCGCAGACUCAACAUUUCCUCUUUGUCUGGAAUGUCUUGCCAUGUGUUUGUGAGAGUGGUGAGGAGUUUUUCUCUCAGCCACAGAGGACAGAAACUGCUGGAAACUUCCAUGGGCUUACAUGAAAAAUAGUUGUAUUCAAAGGGAGUUUAUCUUUCUUGACAAGUCAUUUGGGAAAAUACACAUUUCUAGUGUGUUUCUUUUAUGGAAAAACCCAUAGAUUCCAAAGUAGACCUGAUUAUUUAAGUUUUUUAAGAAAUAAUUGGAGUUUUGUAUUAUAAAAAUGUUAUCAUCCAAUUUUUUGAUAGUGAAAUUGUUAUAAUUAUAGUAAAAGCUUUUCUUUUUAGAGGGAUUUUUUGUAAUAACCCCCCUAAAAAAUGACAAUAAAAUAAACUAUACAGAAAUAUUCAUUAAAAAAAUGCACAAAAUAAACUGUACUGCAUAUUUUACAGUAAAAAUCUGGUAAACAGUUAAAAGUUUUUAUUUAAUUGCUAAAAUUAUAGUCUGACUGGUUUUUCAAGGGUGAAUGUUUAUGAUUUUAUUUAUAUAUUUUCCAAUAAAACUGUAAAUUCUGCCUUUUUUUAUCAUAAUGCAAAUAAAAAUACUACAAUUGUUUUUAACUGCAAAAUCUUGGGAACCUGAACUACCAAUUUUUAAUGAAAAAAAA